rnacentral:misc_RNA from 1 species
AUUAAUUUUAUUGAAUGCAUCAUGCUGUUGCGUUAAGAAUCACUGUAGGCCCGCCAUGUUGUACAGGUCUCUUUCUUAUUUCCAGGUAGAAUGAUGGGCCUCAUGAUGGUAAACCAAAUAGGCAAAAAUGUUGCUAAUGCAGUCGUGGGCGUAACGAGGGAGAUUGUUGCAGCAAAGCGAGCUGCUGAAGCGGUUUAGCAGCCGCAGCCAAAGGUGACGGUGCUGCGGAUACGGGUGAAAAAGGUGGAGCGGAUGCAGGUGACAAAGGAGGUGAUGAAGGGGAUAAGAAGGAUUCCAAGGACGAGAAGAAUUCGAAAGAUGGCGCAGAAGAAGGUGGUACUACUAAGAAAAAGGCAGGAGAGGAUAAGAACGAGUCGAAAGAUGCGAAGGAUUCGAAAGCUGCAACAGGAGGAACUAGCUCAUCGGACAAAAAGUCAGGUAUGCAUAUUCUAGCACCCUCGUAGCACACGUCACGUAGAAAUACAUAUGUUAGCUACAUGAAUUGAAGUACGAGUAGAGUUAUAACAUAUGGAGUGAGCCGAAAAAGACAGAAAAGUAGAUCUAGUGCGAAUGGAGAAGCGCAAAAGCAGAAGAGUAAACGAGAUUGUAUUUGUGUUCCGGUGUGGUCAGUGUUUGAACGUUAUAUUGGCACAGCUGAUGGGAUACAGACCACAACUAUGUGGAUAACACCGACUAUGUACUCAAGUUCCCACAACCACCUGUAUUUUUGAACGUGU